GUCUUGACNUCCUUUGACCNCUCUAGAGAUAGAGCUUUCCCUUCGGGGACAAAGUGACAGGUGGUGCAUGGUUGUCGUCAGCUCGUGUCGUGAGAUGUUGGGUUAAGUCCCGCAACGAGCGCAACCCUUAUUACUAGUUGCCAGCAUUNAGUUGGGCACUCUAGUGAGACUGCCGGUGACAAACCGGAGGAAGGUGGGGAUGACGUCAAAUCAUCAUGCCCCUUAUGACCUGGGCUACACACGUGCUACAAUGGAUGGUACAACGAGUCGCAAGGUCGCGAGGCCAAGCUAAUCUCUUAAAGCCAUUCUCAGUUCGGAUUGUAGGCUGCAACUCGCCUACAUGAAGCCGGAAUCGCUAGUAAUCGCGGAUCAGAACGCCGCGGUGAAUACGUUCCCGGGAA
rnacentral:rRNA from 1 species